rnacentral:rRNA from 1 species
UGCAAGUCGAACGGUGAAGCCCAGCUUGCUGGGUGGAUCAGUGGCGAACGGGUGAGUAACACGUGAGCAACCUGCCCCUGACUCUGGGAUAAGCGCUGGAAACGGCGUCUAAUACUGGAUACGAACCACAGUCGCAUGGCUCGUGGUUGGAAAGAUUUUUUGGUUGGGGAUGGGCUCGCGGCCUAUCAGCUUGUUGGUGAGGUAAUGGCUCACCAAGGCGUCGACGGGUAGCCGGCCUGAGAGGGUGACCGGCCACACUGGGACUGAGACACGGCCCAGACUCCUACGGGAGGCAGCAGUGGGGAAUAUUGCACAAUGGGCGCAAGCCUGAUGCAGCAACGCCGCGUGAGGGAUGACGGCCUUCGGGUUGUAAACCUCUUUUAGCAAGGAAGAAGCGAAAGUGACGGUACUUGCAGAAAAAGCGCCGGCUAACUACGUGCCAGCAGCCGCGGUAAUACGUAGGGCGCAAGCGUUAUCCGGAAUUAUUGGGCGUAAAGAGCUCGUAGGCGGUUUGUCGCGUCUGCUGUGAAAUCCCGAGGCUCAACCUCGGGCCUGCAGUGGGUACGGGCAGACUAGAGUGCGGUAGGGGAGAUUGGAAUUCCUGGUGUAGCGGUGGAAUGCGCAGAUAUCAGGAGGAACACCGAUGGCGAAGGCAGAUCUCUGGGCCGUAACUGACGCUGAGGAGCGAAAGGGUGGGGAGCAAACAGGCUUAGAUACCCUGGUAGUCCACCCCGUAAACGUUGGGAACUAGUUGUGGGGUCCUUUCCACGGAUUCCGUGACGCAGCUAACGCAUUAAGUUCCCCGCCUGGGGAGUACGGCCGCAAGGCUAAAACUCAAAGGAAUUGACGGGGACCCGCACAAGCGGCGGAGCAUGCGGAU